ACUGAACGCUGGCGGCAGGCUUAACACAUGCAAGUCGAGCGGAGAUGAGGUGCUUGCACCUUAUCUUAGCGGCGGACGGGUGAGUAAUGCUUAGGAAUCUGCCUAUUAGUGGGGGACAACAUUCCGAAAGGAAUGCUAAUACCGCAUACGUCCUACGGGAGAAAGCAGGGGAUCUUCGGACCUUGCGCUAAUAGAUGAGCCUAAGUCGGAUUAGCUAGUUGGUGGGGUAAAGGCCUACCAAGGCGACGAUCUGUAGAGGGUCUGAGAGGAUGAUCCGCCACACUGGGACCGAGACACGGCCCAGACUCCUACGGGAGGCAGCAGUGGGGAAUAUUGGACAAUGGGGGGAACCCUGAUCCAGCCAUGCCGCGUGUGUGAAGAAGGCCUUAUGGUUGUAAAGCACUUUAAGCGAGGAGGAGGCUACUGAGACUAAUACUCUUGGAUAGUGGACGUUACUCGCAGAAUAAGCACCGGCUAACUCUGUGCCAGCCGCCGCCGUAAGAC
rnacentral:rRNA from 1 species